rnacentral:rRNA from 1 species
AUUGAACGCUGGCGGCAGGCUUAACACAUGCAAGUCGAACGAGUGGCGGACGGGUGAGUAAUGCUUGGGAAUCUAGCUUAUGGAGGGGGAUAACUACGGGAAACUGUAGCUAAUACCGCGUAACAUAGGAUGAGCCCAAGUGGGAUUAGGUAGUUGGUGAGGUAAAGGCUCACCCAGCCGACGAUCUCUAGCUGGUCUGAGAUGAAUACCAGGCAGACGUGAAAGGGGGCACGGGCCAGACCCCUUCGGUAGGAAGCAGGGGGGAAUAUUGGUGAAUGGGGUCAACCUGAAGCAGGCAUGCCCGGUGAAUGAAGAAGGACCUCGGGUUGGAAAGUUCUUUCUGUAGGGAGGCGUUAACUACAGAAGAAGCACCGGCUAACUCCGUGCCAGCAGCCGCGGUAAUUC